UAUACAGUGAGCAAGCUAUAUAAAUAAGUAUUUAAUAUAAUAAGUGUAGAGCAACAACCGAGGGUGUAAGGUAAAGGCUGAAUAUUGUAGAUUUAUUACAAUAUGUUGCAUGUUUGAAUUAAAAUACCUGUGGAUAUGCAGGAGCACACACUCUACAAAGGCCUGACUGGAGAUUUGCCUGAUCUAUCCGUCCUUCAGAUGACAGCGGCUCGCUUCAAGAGCAGGUGAAGCAAGUUGGGACAAUGUUGAAGACAUUUGCUCGCACUGGGCAAUCGGGUGCAGAUCAAACCCUAAUGCUGCGACGCCUUGGGAGUUUGGCGAUGUUGUGCGUAGCAUGGACGACAAAAUGCUAUGCUGCAACGUUUCAGUGCCAAUGUGUCUGUUGGAGAGUUAUCCCUGCCAGGGGAUCUGUUACUCCCCCCUAGACACCCAGGAAGAUUUGGCGUUGCUUGACAACAGUUUGAGGCAGGAUAAAGAGCUCCAGCAACGAUUUCUUCGGUUUUUGGCAAUCAAAUGUGGGAGGGACCUAAAGACAAC